UCCGCCACAUCUUCGACCUCUACGACCGCAACUCCGACGGACUCAUCUCCCCUCUGAGUUCUCCCUUGCCCUCCGCCGCCUCGGCCUCUCCGUCGAUCCAUCCGACCUCUCCCCCUUCCUCCUCCCCCCACCCACCUCCCCGACGGGAGCGUCCCCGAUGGCCUCGACUUCGACGCCUUCCAAGCCGCGACCAAUCGCCGCCCACAUCAACCCGUCACCCCAAAGCUCUCUCUCCCACCCCCCCAAAGCUCUCCCCAAAAUUCCUCCGUGAGAUUCCUCCCCCAACGCAGCAGCUUUUGGGAUUCAUGCUAGGCUUGCAUCUGAUCGGUUGUCGACGCUGGUGAUUCUUCUUAUUGGAUCUCUUGAAGGGCUUGUCGAGUAUGGAGCUCAAUGGCUUGUUGUGAGGCAGUCGAUCUCACCACUUUCCUAUUAGUAGGCUAAUUCUAACAAAUGUGCAAUCUUUUAUGGAGGCUAAUUCUAACAAAUGUGCAAUCUUUUAUGGAGUUGUCACUGAAUCUGAAAAGGCUAACAUUGCUCUAGCUUUGGGUUUCUCUGAAGAGAGUCUUACCAAUCAAGUACUAGGGUGUGCCUUUAAUAAGCAAGAGGUUAUGUCGAUUGUAGUGACUUUGAUUUCAAAGAUUGCUAAUCAAUUUCAAUUAUGUAUGCACAAUGAAAAGGCUAUUAUUGUAACUUUCCAGCUUUAUGGACAUGGAUCAAGUUUAUGAUUAUAUGUAUCACCUUAUUUUGGAGUACUCCAAAUUGCAGGACUUCAAGCCAGCCCCUCCACCAAAUGCUCAAGAGGUUUGUAUGGAAUUAGUUCUUUGUUUAGCGAAUGAUAAGAAGAAGCAAUUCCUAGAGAGGUCGUAUGCCUCUUCUACUCUUUUGCGUAGAAGAGCAAUUGCAACUGCUACAUUGAGUAACUUGUGUGAUUUGUAAGAACCUUGAAUUUUGGGAGUAGAUUAUGUAUAUAAUUUGGAUUCCGUUGGGUUUUUGUAUUUUUGUAUGGAGAAAUAUGUAAAUUGGAUGUUUCUUGUUAUGUAAAUUGGAUGGAGAAAUAUAUGUGUAUAAUUUAUUACUUACUUUGUCGA